UCUGGAAAAGGAGUUGUAAAACAGAGACUAGUUUACGUUUCUCCGGUACAGAGGCAAACCAAAUCGUUCGGUGGAUAUUCCCAGUCUCACCCUCUGCAGCCUGCCCUAACCCAAAAGGCAAAAACCCCACAUCGCGUCUCACUCUCUGCCUGCUCUAACCCAAAUCUGGCUCCGGUCUACUGAAUAAUGGUACGUCAAUUGUUUUGGUUUUUUGUUCUUCAUUCCACGAACUAAGGCUAUGGUUUGAACAUGUCUAUGGGAAAUUUUAAAAUAGGCAUGAAUUGUACUGAAAUAAGAAUAUAUGUUUCAUGAAUUGCCGAAUUGGACUAAGACGAAAACCUCAAUUGAGAAUAUCUAAUAGAUUAUAAUGAACUUUUUUAGUUGUCUUAUAUCAUAAUAAUCAUAAGUUUGUGGCGGAUUGCAUGUUUAUAGAGUUUAAUUCAUGUUUAUGGUUUUGAGUAUUUUGAAAUGAAGUGUUUGUGUGUAAUGCACAUGAAGUGUUUGAUAAAAUGUCCCACUCUGUAGUUCCCAUGACUGUGUUGUGGUUCCCCUAACGAUUAGAGCUCAACGGCAGCUCUGCACCAUGUCC
rnacentral:lncRNA from 1 species